rnacentral:rRNA from 1 species
GACGAACGCUGGCGGCGUGGAUUAGGCAUGCAAGUCGAACGGUAUCAUCCUUUCGGGGGUGAGAGAGUGGCGAACUGGUGAGUAACACGUAGGUUAUCUACCCUCAAGACGGGGACAGCCCAGGGAAACUUGGGCUAAUACCGGAUGUGAGCAACUUUUAGUUGUUUGAAAGGUGGCGUAAGCUGUCGCUUGGGGAUGAGCCUGCGUCCUAUUAGUUAGUUGGUGAGGUAACGGCUCACCUAGGCAAUGAUAGGUAGGCGGCCUUAACGGGUGGUCGCCCACACUGGGAUUGAGAUACGGCCCAGACUCCUACGGGAGGCAGCAGUCGAGAAUAGUCUACAAUGGUCGGAAGACUGAUAGUGCGACGCCGCGUGAACGAUGAAUCCCUUCGGGGUGUAAAGUUCUUUUAUAUGUGAGCAGUGCUUCUUAUAUUAACAGUAUGGGGAGAGAGAUAUUAGCAUAUGAAUAAGCAACGGCUAACUCCGUGCCAGCAGCCGAC